rnacentral:miRNA from 1 species
AGGGUGAUCAUCUGUCCUGGCUUGCCUGGGACUGAGGGGAGUCCUGGGACUUUCAGUCCCGAGAAAACCCAAGU